GACGAACGCUGGCGGCGUGCUUAACACAUGCAAGUCGAACGGAAAGGCCCUGCUUUUGUGGGUUGCUCGAGUGGCGAACGGGUGAGUAACACGUGAGUAACCUGCCCUUGACUUUGGGAUAACUUCAGGAAACUGGGGCUAAUAUCGGAUAGGAGCUCCUGCUGCAUGGUGGGGGUUGGAAAGUUUCGGCGGUUGGGGAUGGACUCGCGGCUUAUCAGCUUGUUGGUGGGGUAGUGGCUUACCAAGGCUUUGACGGGUAGCCGGCCUGAGAGGGUGACCGGCCACAUUGGGACUGAGAUACGGCCCAGACUCCUACGGGAGGCAGCAGUGGGGAAUAUUGCACAAUGGGCGGAAGCCUGAUGCAGCAACGCCGCGUGCGGGAUGACGGCCUUCGGGUUGUAAACCGCUUUCGCCUGUGACGAAGCGUGAGUGACGGUAAUGGGUAAGGAAGCACCGGCUAACUACGUG
rnacentral:rRNA from 1 species